GACGAACGCUGGCGGCGUGCUUAACACAUGCAAGUCGAGCGGUAAGGCCUCUUCGGGGGUACACGAGCGGCGAACGGGUGAGUAACACGUGGGUGACCUGCCCUCAGCUCUGGGAUAAGCCUGGGAAACUGGGUCUAAUACCGGAUAUGACCUUUCCUCGCAUGGGGUUUGGUGGAAAGUUUUUUCGGCUGGGGAUGGGCCCGCGGCCUAUCAGCUUGUUGGUGGGGUGAUGGCCUACCAAGGCGACGACGGGUAGCCGGCCUGAGAGGGCGACCGGCCACACUGGGACUGAGACACGGCCCAGACUCCUACGGGAGGCAGCAGUGGGGAAUAUUGCGCAAUGGGCGGAAGCCUGACGCAGCGACGCCGCGUGGGGGAUGACGGCCUUCGGGUUGUAAACCUCUUUCGACCCCGACGAAUUUUGACGGUAGGGGUAGAAGAAGCACCGGCCAACUACGUG
rnacentral:rRNA from 1 species